UGUUAGGUGAAAGAUUCAUAAUUUGUCCACCUUGCAGUGUGGUGUAUGCAUGGCCUAUUGGUGCUUGCAUCAGUGUCUUCUUCAUAUUUUGGGGGUGAAAUUAUUGUUCCGUGAGAAGUACGAAGGAGAGAACCUGAGUUGGGUGAUUUGUAUAAAACUGGUUGACUAGAUGAGAUAAGGAAGGUGGCUUGGUGAAUCUGAAGAAAGCAAAGUUGCUGCUGAAGCAUAUGGGAAUGAUCCCAAAGAGAGACAAGUUUCAAAGCUCUGAAAUUUACCAAACAGAGCGUGCUUAUCUGCUUUGCCUUGGUCUGUCGGGAUGUUACAAGAAUGGCACCUCAUCAACUUCAUUUUCCUUUCUUGUCUGCACUUUGUACGGUGAGGGUAUACCCUGCUUACCUAUUGAUUUAAUUGCUUGAUGUUAAUAUUAUAACCAUCCCAUUAAGGGGUAGAAAAAAAAAGGCACCUCUAUUAAAUCCAUCAGACCUUUUAGAGGUUAUUUUCAACCAGAAGAAAUUGCUUUGAACUCUCAGAUGCACCCUUUAUUUUAUAUUCAGUUGUUUAUAGAAGUUGCUAUUUGCACUGUCAGAUAUUUGAUUCCAUUAUCUUAGCUUGCAAACAACCCUGAAUUGAUGCUUUGGGUAGCGAACAUCUUUUUUUUUUUUUUUUUUUACUUGUGGAAGAGUUACUUCCUUCUUUGGUCUGUAAGAUCUUUCUUGACAAAAUAUUAUGCCAGAAUAGUUGGAUACUAUAGGCUUAUGGGACUAUAUCAUGCAACUUUCAACUGUCAACCAAGACUUCAUAGCUAGACACUUGGACAGGAGUUGGAUACUAAUUGUUUAUAUCAUGUGAUGUGUUCUAUAGCCAGUGUUCUAUAGUUAGACUUCAUAGUGUUGCAGAUAAAACCUGGCAAAUCAAAAUGUUGAGUAGUUCUAUUGGUCAUGUUAUUUGCUUAUGUUAUUACUCCUCUCUCAUUGUUACUCCUCUCUCAUUGUUAAACUAACUUCUUCAUUUUUUUUUUUUGGGUUUAAAUAAUAAGUGGAUGCCUUAUAUCAAGGGGCUAUUAUUCUUCUUUGGCAAGUCAAUUUUGUAAAAUCAGAGGUUUGAACAUGUCCACCAAAAAAAAUAAUAAUAAUGAAGGAAGAAAAAAUUAAAGAAAAAAAAACUGGUACAUGUCUAAUUCUCCAUUUUGGAAUUUGAAGAUGGACUAUGUUUACUUGUGGCAUGUGUUGAAUGGCGAGGGUUGGAUUUUAAUAAAAUGGAAGUUGCCAAAGAAAAGAAUUAAUCAUUUCAUUAACAUCACCUAAUGGCUUAAGUUUUUAGGUCGGUCCGGAAAGAACCCAACGCCAAGUUACACUUGGUAUGAGAGUCAGACCCAUAAGAAUUAAAACUCAUUAUUGUGAAUGAAAUACUUACUACAACAAAGUACUUUCAGUCCAUCUCUCUUUUUUUUUCUUCUUUUUUUUUUCUUUUCUCUCUCUAAAACCUGCUACUCUCUUUUACUAUGUAUCAAAGUUUAUGUGCCUCUCUCUUUCUCUCUCUGCUCCUCCAAGGAGAAUUUCCACAUUUCGCUUUAAAAUCACCUGAUCGACAAGGAAUGUUUCAAAUUCUCUUCAAUCCUCACAUGACACUGUCCAUAUCCAAAAUGACAUCACUUGUUCUGCCUAAAUUCUCUCUUUCACUAACACACUCCACACCCUUUUUGUUUCUCUUCUUCAAUUUUCUUUGUAACAAGCACACAAGACACACAUAUAUAACUAUAUAUAUAAAUAUAUUUGCGUAUAUAUAUAUAGACGACUUUUGGGUUUUGUAUCACAAAAAGAAAUGGACCCAGUUGUUCCUAACGAUACAAUCAAUCGGCUUCUUAAAGUGAGAGGAAAAGGAGGUUCAGUUAUCCGAGUAGGAAAUGGAACAAUCGUGUGUAGUUUCUAUUGAGAUUUUCUUGCAACAACCCAAUUUAUUGGAAUUCAAGCACCCAUCAUUUGUGGUAUACUAUAUUAUAUGCCUAAUGACCCCCACUUGGGUUUGGUGUUCUUUUGUGAUUUUGUGUUUUGGUUGUUGGUAAUUUGAUGUACUUGUAAUGAUUUUGUUAAUUGUUUUACUUUUUGUAGUCUGCAUUUUGUUUUUCAUGAUUUUGUGCUCUUGGUGUUAAUUGGAUUUUAUCAUUUGGGUGGUGGUUCGCUCCAUAUUUGAUUUUGUUGAGUUUGUGAUUUGGGUUUAGAUAUAAUUCAUUACUUGCUAUAUGCUGUAUAAUUUUCUUAAAAUGGUUGCACUUUGUAUGAAUUAAAUUGCAUAUUUUUUUUGGGUUGUUUUCAACUUUUGAUUAGUUAAGCAAAAUCAUCUUUUAAGUCUCAAUUAAUAUGCUUCUUCUGAUUAAUUAUCAAUAAAUAAAUAAAAAAUAUGCUGCUUCUGAAAUUGUGUGGAAGUUGAAGAUAUAUAGUUGGGUGUUACGAUGAUGCUCCUUUUGGAGGGAUUUUUUUUGCUCUUGGUAUCAUCACAUUAAUGUGUUCCGUUAACUUCUUAUAUCUGACUUGCUCAAUUGAUUUUGAGAAUUAUGCUCUUGGUGCUAGUUAUGGUAAUUAUUACAUUCAAUCCUAAAAUUUGAAUAACAGAAUAUGUUUUGGAAAACCUGUUCAUACUAUACAGAAAUUCCUUCUUUCUGAGAUUUUGUUGAAGAUUGUCGAUGCUGCUGUUAUUCUUUGCUUAUUCAGCUCUCAAGUAUGAACCCAAAUACUUUAGACGUUGAUUAUAACAUCAAGGCUGGUUUUUUAUUUAUUUAAUUUUGAAGAUUAGAUCUAACAUGCAAUGUUGUUUUAUUUUUUGUGUUAUAUAUCAACAUUCUCAUUUAUUUUACGUUUAGGUCUCUUUUGACUUGUUACUUCAGUAAAAAAGCAUAAACUUCUAAGCUUUUGUUUCCGACAACUGAGUUAAAUUUCGUGCACAAAAAUCACUAAAAUUCAUUAAACAUAAAUUUUAUUAAAUUCUAUAGUAAAUAAAUUGCGUAAGGAUACGUUUUGGCCAUAUGUGUUAUUAAAUUCUAUAGUUAAACAUUGAGUAAGGGUACGUUUUGGCCAUAUGUGUGUGGCCAAUUCCGUUAUGUCAUGACUUACGCCCAAUUCAGGCCCAUGCCUGUUACACCGUGUCUGUAUCUUCGAACCAUGGUGGUGCUUGGUGUUCUUUUCCUUUUCCCUGCUCUUAAUGAUUCGAUUGAAAAUUUAAUUGGUAGGAUCGAUUUCAAUUAUUUCUUGGUUGCAACUUUCUCUAAUUUUUGUGGUGUUAGAAUUGUUGAUAAACAAAGAAACUUGUUAGCUUUAAUUAAAAAGUGAUCAAAUUGAGCCUCUGAUACCACCUUUAGAUUUAACAGAAUGGUUAAAUAAGAUUCAUGUAACUGAAUUCAAAUAGUUGGGAUAAGAUAUUGUUGGGUUGAGUUGAGUGCUAUUGUUAACUUUUCUUGUAGACUCGGGUUUAUGUUUUACCUUUACUUUCAAAAAUUUGUAACUUUAUCUUACGUGCGCGUAUCAUAGUUCCAGAUGAGUUCCAGAUGCAUGCUUCAGUCACACUGUUAAUCUGUUAUGAGACUUACAAGCCCUGAUUACGUGCUACGGGAUUGUUCCAAGUCUGAUGCUGUGGUUUUUUUUUUUUCUUUCUGGCUUCAGUCACUUGAGAUAUGUCGUCCUGUCAGACUUUUGAUUUUGUGUAUGGGCGUGAUAUAUAUUUUUGGUGGAACUCCAUUGGAUUGUUUAGUUGCAUGCUUGUUUCCUUUAAGCGGGCUGACAUGAAUGAGAUGGAUUUGAGGACCUUCCUUGAGAGCUUCUUCAGACCCGGGAAGAGAUGAUCGCGCCGUCUCAAAUAGCUGCUUCCAAGGGUGCUGGCCCGGUUGAUGGAACUGCUAUUUUUCGCCCCAUACUUGGCAAGAAGGGUCUGGUUAUGGCGUAAAGCGCACUCCAUCAAGUCACUGUAGUCGUGCAGAAGUGGAGGCAGCUAAUAAAAGAGCCAAUGAUACGGAAGAGAAAGUUCGGGACACUUACUGAAAAGAUAGCUUCCGAGGCAUUACAAAGGAAGUCCGGAACACUGAAAAUAUAGAUUCAAAGGCAUUGCAAAGAGAGAAGGAAUUUUGGAUGAGCAUGGUGCACAAUUUGUCAAUGGAAAGGGGCUUUCACUUUAUUGGUAGGAGGCUUUUUGCCAUUCAACAAAAGAUUUUGUGAAGACAUCUUUUGAUUUAUUAGGAAGCUGUUUUAGCAUCAAGAGUCUGGUGUUCAAAGUUAUAGUUGGUUUACUUGUUGGACUCGUAACAUCUUGUCUUUUUGUGUAGGCCAUGUUCUUGAAUUGUACAAACAUGUUCAUAUCAUUAUUAUUUAUUUAUUUAUUUA